rnacentral:tRNA from 1 species
GGUCGCGUAGCUCAGCUGGAUUAGAGUGUUUGCCUACGAAGCAAAAAGCCGCAGGUUCGAGUCCUGCCGCGAUCACCA